GAUGAAGAACGCAGCGAAAUGCGAUAAGUUAUGUGAAUUGCAGAAUUCAGUGAAUCAUCGAAUCUUUGAACGCAUCUUGCGCUCCUUGGUAUUCUGAGGAGCAUGCCUGUUCGAGCGUCAUUACAACCCUCAGGCCCCCGGGCCUGGCGUUGGGGAUCGGCGGAGCCCCCCGUGGGCACACGCCGUCCCCCAAAUGCAGUGGCGGUCCCGCCGCAGCUUCCAUCGCGUAGUAGCUAACACCUCGCGACUGGAGAGCGGCGCGGCCACGCCGUAAAACACCCAACUCUUCUGAAGUUGACCUCGAAUCAGGUAGGAAUACCCGCUGAACUUAAGCAUAUCAAUAAGCGGAGGA
rnacentral:misc_RNA from 1 species